rnacentral:rRNA from 1 species
CCUACGGGAGGCAGCAGUGGGGAAUCUUAGACAAUGGGGGCAACCCUGAUCUAGCCAUGCCGCGUGAGUGAUGAAGGCCUUAGGGUCGUAAAGCUCUUUCGCCUGUGAUGAUAAUGACAGUAGCAGGUAAAGAAACCCCGGCUAACUCCGUGCCAGCAGCCGCGGUAAUACGGAGGGGGUUAGCGUUGUUCGGAAUUACUGGGCGUAAAGCGCGCGUAGGCGGAUUAGAAAGUUGGGGGUGAAAUCCCGGGGCUCAACCCCGGAACUGCCUCCAAAACUGCUAGUCUAGAGUUCGAGAGAGGUGAGUGGAAUUCCGAGUGUAGAGGUGAAAUUCGUAGAUAUUCGGAGGAACACCAGUGGCGAAGGCGGCUCACUGGCUCGAUACUGACGCUGAGGUGCGAAAGUGUGGGGAGCAAACAGGAUUAGAUACCCUGGUAGUCCACACCGUAAACGAUGAAUGCCAGUCGUCGGAUAGUAUACUAUUCGGUGACACACCUAACGGAUUAAGCAUUCCGCCUGGGGAGUACGGUCGCAAGAUUAAAACUUAAAGGAAUUGACGGA